AUUAGAUGAUGAAUCUAUCCCGAAACUGAUUUCAUGUGAAUGAAACUCUUAUAUGGAUCUGACUUCUGAUAU
rnacentral:snoRNA from 2 species